UUGUUCAUAUGUUUAGUGAUUAAUUGUGUGAUUUAAAUAAAUUUUAACGGUGAAUUAUUAACAAUUAUUAAAAUAUUUUUGCAUAAUUUAUUAAAUCAGAAGUAGCUUAACAUUUUUAUAUAAAAAUAUUAAUGAAUAGUGUUAAAUUAAUGCAAGAAAAAGUGUAACAAAAUUUGCUAAAUUUUUGUGAAAUUUUUGCGAAAAAAUUGCUGUUUCUUUUUCGCCGGGCCAUUCGUUUUAAGAAUAAGAAGAGGAAGAUAAUAAAAUGUAGUGUUUUUGUUAUUGUAACGUGGUUUAAAAUUAAAAAAUUCAUUGUUUCUUUUUUUCAGUUAUUAAAUGCAAUAAAGAUUUAUUGGUUAAAAUUGUUAAAAUGUGUUUGCAUAAUUAAAAAAAUAAAGAACAUUUUUAAAAGUUUAAUUAUUUUAACGAAAUUUUAAAGAAGACAAAAGAAGCUGUUAAAGAAAGAACCUGUUGCUGUAGGUUGUUACUGCGGAAUUUUGGAUAAUUUUUGCCUGGUUUUGGAAUUAAUAGAUUUUGUUAUGCUGCCCAAAAACAAUUGCAAUGAAUGAUUAUUACAAAAAAUAAGUCGGUCUGUCCUCUGACAUCCAAUUGGGAGGACAUAUGAAACUGCUAUGGUAACAAUUAUUGGGUAAAGAUGUGUUAAUAUUAUUUCUGUUUAAUAGCAAAAAACUAAAUAUUUAAAUGUUGCAAAUGUAUGUGAAUAUUUGAAAAAUUUAUAUAAAAACAAAAGAAAAAUUUUAACGAU